rnacentral:rRNA from 1 species
UGGUGUAUAGUGGACAACGGGCGCAAGCCUGAUCCAGCCAUGCCGCGUGAGUGAUGAAUGCCCUAGGGUUGUAAAGCUCUUUCACCGGUGAAGAUAAUGACGGUAACCGGAGAAGAAGCCCCGGCUAACUUCGUGCCAGCAGCCUCGGUAAUACGAAGGGGGCUAGCGUUGGUCGGAUUUACUGGGCGUAAAGCGCACGUAGGCGGACUUUUAAGUAAGGGGUGAAAUCCCGGGGCUCAACCCCGGAACGGCCUUUGAUACUGGAAGUCUUGAGUAUGGUAGAGGUGAGUGGAAUUCCGAGUGUAGAGAUGAAUUUCGUAGAUAUUCGGACGAACUCCAGUGGCGAAGGCAGCUCACUGGACCAUUACUGACGCUGGGGUGGGAAAGCGUGGGGAGCAAACAGG